UUGUCUCAAAGAUUAAGCCAUGCAUGUCUCAGUACAAGCCACAUUAAGGUGAAACCGCGAAAGGCUCAUUAAAUCAGUUAUGGUUCCUUAGAUCGUACCCACAUUUACUUGGAUAACUGUGGUAAUUCUAGAGCUAAUACAUGCAAACAGAGUCCCGACCGGAGACGGAAGGGAUGCUUUUAUUAGAUCAAAACCAAUCGGCGGCGGUCUCGGCCGUUCGCCGCUCAACUUGGUGACUCUGAAUAACUUUCGGCUGAUCGCACGGUCCAGCACCGGCGACGCAUCUUUCAAAUGUCUGCCUUAUCAACUGUCGAUGGUAGGUUCUGCGCCUACCAUGGUCGUAACGGGUAACGGGGAAUCAGGGUUCGAUUCCGGAGAGGGAGCCUGAGAAACGGCUACCACAUCCAAGGAAGGCAGCAGGCGCGCAAAUUACCCACUCCCGGCACGGGGAGGUAGUGACGAAAAAUAACGAUACGGGACUCAUCCGAGGCCCCGUAAUCGGAAUGAGUACACUUUAAAUCCUUUAACGAGGAUCAAUUGGAGGGCAAGUCUGGUGCCAGCAGCCGCGGUAAUUCCAGCUCCAAUAGCGUAUAUUAAAGUUGUUGCGGUUAAAAAGCUCGUAGUUGAAUCUGUGUCUCGCGCUGUCGGUUCACCGCCCGCGGUGUCAAACUGGCAUGCCGCGAGACGUCCUGCCGGUGGGUGCGUGCCCGGUGUAUGUCGCUUCGGCGUCUGCAUCGGCCGCCCCGACUUCACAAUCCUACCGCGGUGCUCUUGAUUGAGUGUCGAGGUGGGCCGGCACGUUUACUUUGAACAAAUUAGAGUGCUCAAAGCAGGCUAAAAUUUCGCCUGAAUACUGUGUGCAUGGAAUAAUGGAACAGGACCUCGGUUCUAUUUUGUUGGUUUUCGGAACCCCGAGGUAAUGAUUAAUAGGGACAGAUGGGGGCAUUCGUAUUGCGACGUUAGAGGUGAAAUUCUUGGACCGUCGCAAGACGGACAGAAGCGAAAGCAUUUGCCAAAAAUGUUUUCAUUAAUCAAGAACGAAAGUCAGAGGUUCGAAGGCGAUCAGAUACCGCCCUAGUUCUGACCAUAAACGAUGCCAGCUAGCGAUCCGCCGAAGUUCCUCCGAUGACUCGGCGGGCAGCUUCCGGGAAACCAAAGCUUUUGGGUUCCGGGGGAAGUAUGGUUGCAAAGCUGAAACUUAAAGGAAUUGACGGAAGGGCACCACCAGGAGUGGAGCCUGCGGCUUAAUUUGACUCAACACGGGAAACCUCACCAGGCCCGGACACCGGAAGGAUUGACAGAUUGAGAGCUCUUUCUUGAUUCGGUGGGUGGUGGUGCAUGGCCGUUCUUAGUUGGUGGAGCGAUUUGUCUGGUUAAUUCCGAUAACGAACGAGACUCUAGCCUGCUAACUAGGCGUUACUUUCCGGCAUCUCGAAGGCUCGCGUCUCCCGUUCGCCGUGUGCGGGCGUGUGUCGUGUCGCGGCGUUUCGGCGUUCGCGCGCGCACCGUCCGUCCGGUCGGGUGUUCGCGGUUUUUACUGCCGGCGUACACAUUUAUCUUCUUAGAGGGACAGGCGGCUCCUAGCCGCACGAGAUUGAGCAAUAACAGGUCUGUGAUGCCCUUAGAUGUUCUGGGCCGCACGCGCGCUACACUGAAGGAAUCAGCGUGUCCUCCCUGGCCGAGCGGUCCGGGUAACCCGCUGAACCUCCUUCGUGCUAGGGAUUGGGGCUUGCAAUUGUUCCCCAUGAACGAGGAAUUCCCAGUAAGCGCGAGUCAUAAGCUCGCGUUGAUUACGUCCCUGCCCUUUGUACACACCGCCCGUCGCUACUACCGAUUGAAUGAUUUAGUGAGGUCUUCGGACCGGCACGCGGCGAGGUUUCGACGUCGCCGAUGUCGCUGGGAAGAUGACCAAACUUGAUCAUUU
rnacentral:rRNA from 1 species